rnacentral:rRNA from 1 species
AUUGAACGCUGGCGGCAGGCCUAACACAUGCAAGUCGAGCGGAUGAAGGUAGCUUGCUCCUGGAUUCAGCGGCGGACGGGUGAGUAAUGCCUAGGAAUCUGCCUGGUAGUGGGGGAUAACGUCCGGAAACGGGCGCUAAUACCGCAUACGUCCUGAGGUAGAAAGUGGGGGAUCUUCGGACCUCACGCUAUCAGAUGAGCCUAGGUCGGAUUAGCUAGUUGGUUGGGUAAAGGCCUACCAAGGCGACGAUCCGUAACUGGUCUGAGAGGAUGAUCAGUCACACUGGAACUGAGACACGGUCCAGACUACUACGGGAGGCAGCAGUGGGGAAUAUUGGACAAUGGGCGAAAGCAUGAUCCAGCCAUGCCGAGUGUGUGAAGAAGGUCUUCGGAUUGUAAAGCACUUUAAGUUGGGAGGAAGGGAAGUAAGUUAAUACCUUGCUGUUUUGACGUUACCAAAAGAAUAAGCACCGGCUAACUUCGUG